rnacentral:rRNA from 1 species
AUUGAACGCUGGCGGCAUGCCUUACACAUGCAAGUCGAACGGUAACAGGUCUUCGGAUGCUGACGAGUGGCGAACGGGUGAGUAAUACAUCGGAACGUGCCCGAUCGUGGGGGAUAACGGAGCGAAAGCUUUGCUAAUACCGCAUACGAUCUACGGAUGAAAGCAGGGGACCGCAAGGCCUUGCGCGGACGGAGCGGCCGAUGGCAGAUUAGGUAGUUGGUGGGAUAAAAGCUUACCAAGCCGACGAUCUGUAGCUGGUCUGAGAGGGCGACCAGCCACACUGGGACUGGGAGACGGCCCAGACUCCUACGGGAGGCAGCAGUGGGGAAUUUUGGACAAUGGGCGAAAGCCUGAUCCAGCCAUGCCGCGUGCAGGAUGAAGGCCUUCGGGUUGUAAACUGCUUUUGUACGGAACGAAAAGGCUCUUUCUGAUAAAGAGGGUUCAUGACGGUACCGUAAGAAUAAGCACCGGCUAACUACGUGCCAGCCGCCGCCGUAA